UACGUAGGGGGCAAGCGUUGUCCGGAAUCAUUGGGCGUAAAGAGCGUGUAGGCGGUUCAGUAAGUCUGCUGUGAAAGUCCAAGGCUCAACCUUGGGAUGCCGGUGGAUACUGCUGAGCUAGAGUACGGAAGAGGCGAGUGGAAUUCCCGGUGUAGCGGUGAAAUGCGCAGAUAUCGGGAGGAACACCUAUUGCGAAGGCAGCUCGCUGGGACGAUACUGACGCUGAUGCGCGAAAGCCAGGGGAGCGAACGGG
rnacentral:rRNA from 1 species